rnacentral:rRNA from 1 species
AGAGUUUGAUCCUGGCUCAGAAUCAACGCUGGCGGCGUGCCUAACACAUGCAAGUCGAACGAGAAAGUGGAGCAAUCCAUGAGUAAAGUGGCGACCGGGUGAGUAACACGUGACUAACCUACCUUCGAGUGGGGGAUAACCUCGGGAAACCGAGGCUAAUACCGCAUAACAUCGCAAGAUCAAAGCAGCAAUGCGCUUGAAGAGGGGGUCGCGGCUGAUUAGCCAGUUGGCGGGGUAACGGCCCACCAAAGCGAAGAUCGGUAGCCGGCCUGAGAGGGCGCACGGCCACACUGGAACUGAAACACGGUCCAGACUCCUACGGGAGGCAGCAGUGGGGAAUUUUGCGCAAUGGGGGAAACCCUGACGCAGCAACGCCGCGUGGAGGAUGAAGCCCCUUGGGGCG